rnacentral:lncRNA from 1 species
GUUGAUGGCGAUGCGAAGAGCAAUCGACUUACAAGGGUGUUUUAAAAAUAGGCUCGAUAUGGAAUCGAGAAUUGUAUGAUGUGAUUUUUGAAAUUGGUUUGAAUGGAUAAUGAAUUGAAAUUGGAAAUGAUAAUGAAAAGAUGGUUUGAAAUUGGAAUGAAAUGAAAUGUUUUUUUUUCUUUGUUUGAAAUAAUGUGAAGGUGUGAGAGUGAAGGAAAUUAAUCCAAUUCUUUUUUAGCAAAAUUAACUGAUCAAAACCGAUUAAAUGGAUUAAUUGAGCUAAUUAAAAUUUGUUUAAUUAAACCAACUGAUCAGGUUGAUUAAAGCUAAUUAAUUUAUUUGACAAAAUGUAAUUAUUUGAUUAGUGAAGAUGAGAUAAGUAAUAAUUUAAAUUUUCUAAACACUGAGUCAGAACUCCAAAUUAUCACAAUGGAUUUGAAACCUAACAGAAACCACUUCAUGUUAUGCACAUAUUAACAAGCAGGCCAUAGAAUCAAAACUAAAUCUAUAUACAAUAUAAAAAUUCAGCAAGCAAUCAAUAAUGUAAUUUAACUUAUGAUAAUCAAACCAAAGAAUCAAAACUAAAUCUAUAUACAAUAUAAAAAUUCAGCAAGCAAUCAAUAAUGUAAUUUAACUUAUGAUAAUCAAACCAAUCACAUAAUUGACAAUAUGACUAUACUGUGAACUAAUCCAUAAAUUCACAGUUUAACUACAGCACCAAUAAUAAUCACAAAGUUAGGAUAAAAAUGGGAAUAAGCUUUAAGGUUUAUCUGUAGAAACUACUUUUAAACUCAAAACAGCUUAAGAAACAACAUGACGGAAUGAAAAAUUCAUUUGCUACCGUUCAAAAUCAAUUUGAAGAUAUUAACCAUUAUCACCAACAGCUCAGUCUCACAUAUAAAUCUCCUAUAUGAACCGACAAAGAAAAGAAUAAAUCUACAGGAUUGAAAUCAAAUUCAAAUCAACUACUUGAUAUUAGUACAACCCAAGAAAACAGACUAUUAAUACUUAUCCAUUCAAAACAAUGAAUACACCCAAACUCUGCAUACUGAUCUUGCUGUACAAAAUUAACAUACCACCGUAAUCCUACCCUCCCCUAUGAACGCAAACACAUAUGUUCAAUACCCAAAAAAAAGAAUAUUAUGAGAAAUAAUUAUCCAGUUUUACCAAAUAACAAUUCAGAACAGCCUACACGAUAGAUCCAUUUACACUCAGAGUUUAAACAUUAACAGUUCAGGCUUGUACAUACCCCACAUAAUACAACCAUAUAUGUAAUCGAAAAAAUGGAAAAAAUUGAUUGCAAGAUAGUGAUGGUUUAUUACAUUGAGGUUCUUACCAAACGUUUGAAAUAUCACUGGAGCCAAAUCGCAGAGUUUGUUUUGGAUUUCGCAGAGUUUGUUGAGUUACCCUUUGCUUGAGCUGUCAAGGGUGUCGUAACCGUGUUUGUCGGCGACGGAUCCUUGAAGGACAGUUUGAGGUCGGUGGAUUCAGGUGAUUGAAGGUGGUGACGUGAAGGUUGAUGGCGUAGGAGAACGAUUCAGUGAGGGUUUGAUGGAAGAAUGAAGGACUGCGGCGGAAUCUACGGGUUGCGAUUGGUGGAGACGAUGAAGAUUUGAGAGUGAAUCAGAGGGUUCUCGUGUAGGUUUUUUUUUAGAGUGAGAGAGAGGCGAGGGUUUGUGACGGUAAAGUGAUGAAGCUGAUUGAUGAUGAAACGGAAAGGGUUUCGGAUGGGUUUCACGGCGGUUGGCGAUUGAGCGUGGUGCGGUGGCGGUAGAAAGGGGUUUUGACGGUUGAAGGUGACAGGAGGCGAAACGGAAGUGGAAAGGGUUCACGGUUUUGGAAGAAGAGUAGAGGGUUUCGGUUGGUGAGCGAUUUUGUGUGGGUUUUGAGCAGAUGAAGAAGCGGCGAUGGAGGUGAGGGGUUUCGGGUGAUGGUUGAUGAAUGGGCGGUGAAAGUGGGUUCGCCGGUAGAUUCGCGGCGGCUGAGGGUUUUGAAGAGGGCUAGCGAUGGAGGUGAUGAAGGGAGGAAAAUGACGGAGUGGUGGUGAUUUAUGGAGACGAUGAAUGGAUUUUGAGAGAGGCGUGAGAGGUUUUUUUCUGCUGAGAGCGAGUGAGUGGAGUGAAAGAGGUGGGGGAUUUUCAGAGAGAGAACAUGAGAUUUUUUUUGUAAGGAUGAUCGCCCCGUGUGGAUUUCGUGAGAGAGAGAUAUAAGGAUUUGGAAGGAUUUUUUGUCUUUUUCUGCUGAGUGUUUGUGUGAGAAUGAGGGAUUUGUGUGGAGUUUGUUGGGAGUGGAGAGAUAGUGAUACUGAGUGGGGAGAUAGUGGAGAGUGAAAUGAGAGAGUGAGUGAAUAGCAGUGAGUGUGGAUUUUUCUGUGAGAGAGAUGAGAGUGAAUAGUGUGAGAGANNN